AGCUCCAAUAGCGUAUAUUAAAGUUGUUGCAGUUAAAAAGCUCGUAGUUGGAUUUCUGGUAUGACGCACCCGGCCCGCCUCUUACGAGCGUGUGCGUCGGCGCGCGUCUGCCAUCCUCCCACGGAGCGUUCCUAUCCUUCAAUGGACCGGGUUCGCGAACUGGGUCUUUUACUUUGAAAAAAUUAGAGUGUUUAAAGCAGGCUUUUGCUAUGAAUACAUUAGCAUGGAAUAAUAACUUAGGACUUCGGUUCUAUUUUGUUGGUUUCUAGGAUUGAAGUAAUGAUUGAUAGGGAUAGUUGGGGGUGCUAGUAUUGAGCGGCCAGAGGUGAAAUUCUUGGAUUCGCUCAAGACUAACUUAUGCGAAAGCAUUCACCAAGGAUGUCUUCUUUA
rnacentral:rRNA from 1 species